GGGAGGAGCUUGCGUCACAUUAGUUAGUUGGGGGGGUAAAGGCCUACCAAGACUAUGAUGUGUAGCCGGGCUGAGAGGUUGAACGGCCACAUUGGGACUGAGACACGGCCCAAACUCCUACGGGAGGCAGCAGUAGGGAAUUUUCGGCAAUGGAGGAAACUCUGACCGAGCAACGCCGCGUGAACGAUGAAGUAUUUCGGUACGUAAAGUUCUUUUAUUAGGGAAGAAUAAAUGAUGGAAAAAUCAUUCUGACGGUACCUAAUGAAUAAGCCCCGGCUAACUAUGUGCCAGCAGCCGCGGUAAUACAUAGGGGGCAAGCGUUAUCCGGAAUUAUUGGGCGUAAAGGGUGCGUAGGCGGUUAAAUAAGUUUAUGGUCUAAGUGCAAUGCUCAACAUUGUGAUGCUAUAAAAACUGUUUAGCUAGAGUAAGAUAGAGGCAAGUGGAAUUCCAUGUGUAGUGGUAAAAUGCGUAAAUAUAUGGAGGAACACCAGUAGCGAAGGCGGUUUGCUGGGUCUUUACUGACGCUGAGGCACGAAAGCGUGGGGAGCAAACAGGAUUAGAUACCCUGGUAGUCCACGCCGUAAACGAUGAGUACUAAACGUUGGGUAAAACCAGUGUUGAAGUUAACACAUUAAGUACUCCGCCUGAGUAGUACGUACGCAAGUAUGAAACUUAAAGGAAUUGACGGGACUCCGCACAAGCGGUGGAUCAUGUUGUUUAAUUCGAAGGUACCCGAAAAACCUCACCAGGUCUUGACAUGCUUUUGCAAAGCUGUAGAAACCCAGUGGAGGUUAUCAGUUGCACAGGUGGUGCAUGGUUGUCGUCAGCUCGUGUCGUCAGAUGUUGGGUUAAGUCCCGCAACGAGCGCAACCCUUAUUGUUAGUUGCCAGCACGUAAUGGUGGGGUCUUUAGCAAGACUGCCAGUGAUAAAUUGGAGGAAGGUGGGGACGACGUCAAAUCAUCAUGCCCCUUAUGACCUG
rnacentral:rRNA from 1 species